UUGAUUACGUCCCUGCCCUUUGUACACACCGCCCGUCGCUGCCCGGGACUGAGCCAUUUCGAGAAACUUGGGGACUGCUGGCUGGCAGCCUUCGGGCCGCUUGUUGGUGGAAACCAAUUUAAUCGCAGUGGCUUGAACCGGGCAAAAGUCGUAACAAGGUAGCUGUAGGUGAACCUGCUGCUGGAUCAUU
rnacentral:rRNA from 1 species